rnacentral:lncRNA from 1 species
CAAAAUACAGUUUCCUCUUGAAGCUCCUGCAUGUCCAACAUCUUGAAGAUGAGGAGUCUUUAAAAGACCAUUUGCUCCAUCUUCUGCAUUCAGGCUGAAUUGUUUAAAAGCAUUUCAGAAAGAUGAGAAUCUACCCUACUUAAAAAAAAAAAUUCCACGGAAGGAAUAUCAGAGAACCAAAAGUAAUAUUAUCGAAGUUAAAUUCCUCAAGUUUCAACUAAAACUGGGCUCUUCUUGUUGUUUGUUUAGAGGAGAUGAAAAGUAGCUCUUCACUGUGUGAAAGCCAUUCCUACACUUGAAAGACAUUGUUAUGUGGCUCUUUCUGCUAAAAAUAAUCUCAUUUCCUUAGAAGAUUUUCUAAGUUUUAUUUCCCAGUUUUGACCCUGUGAAGGUUAAUGAGAGAAUCUGAUACUGAGGGGGAGAGCACAUGAAACCUGCCAGGACUUUACUUAUUUAAAACAUUUUUACAAUUAUUAUUUCCUGUUCAUUCUGGAGAAUCUACAGAGCUCUUCACUGGGGAGAUGGCAGAGAGCUGAAGAGCUGACAGGAUAGGAAAGAGCCAGUGAAAUAUUUGAAUUUACCUGUCUGUGUAGCACAAGGACCAGUGACAUGUUGUAAACUAAUGACAGGAAGAGUAGCACAAAAGCAACUUUGAUUGAAUUGGGCCUCCUGGUGGCGCCAGUCUGAAGUGCCUCAGAACAUGGCAUCAUGGGAGACUCCUCUGGUGCCGGUUCUCCUAGUCCAGUCACUGGCUGUGAGGUUUCAACAUGGCUGCUCCUGUUUUCCUCCCAGCCCUGCUACCAAAUGACUGUCCUGCAGGACAAUUCCUGGGAGUGGUUGGGAUCAACUCCUCAUGGAACAAUUGCCGCCACGUCAUAGGUGUAGGUUUGCAAGGGUGGUGUUCCAGAGCUGUUGAUUCCCUCCUUUGCAGUCUAUCUUUGAUCCACAUCAGUUGCACUAGGUAGAUGGUACUGUCUGGAUUCAGCUUCUUUCUCCUACAUGUGAAUAACCGUGUUCAAGGUAAUACCAUGUGUUAAUUUGGCCAUUUUUAAAACUAGUUAAAACAGUAAAGUUAUUUGUCUAAAUAACAUAUAGUCAUAGCAAAUUUAAAAACUUAAUACCUAACUAUGGUAAAAUGUAAUUUUCGCUAACCCUGAACUCACUUCAGUUUCUGCUUAGGCUAAUCCUGACUCUAAGAAAAUAUUUUAAAAACAUUCAUUCAACAAAUAUGCUUUGAGGCAUCCUUUGGUAUCAAGCACUGUGCUAGGCACUGAGUCUGCAAUAAUGAAUAAGACAAAGUUGAUCUUUGUCCACAGAGAGAUGAUAGUCUGCAGGAUGCAGUGUUCUAAUGGAUUGAAAACCUCUUCUGGAAUUGCAGUUCUUUCAGGAUAUAUGUGACUUCCAGACUUCUUUGUACCGCAGCAUCACAUGCAGGAGAUGCUCCAAGUUCGGGAGGCAAGAACAAUGGAGGAGGAGUGAUGUCUAGAAGCAGCAGUGGCAGCAUGAAGACUGUCCAUCCACCUGCCUUCGUGACUUUAAAGUGCUUAAUAAAGUCUUCAUAGGACAACCAACUCCAGUUCUCUUAGAAUGACUCUCCUGGGCCACAGCAGAGCACUGAGGAGCUGUGCUGAUCUCUUGAAGACUGGUUCCAUUAAGUGGCCACCAAGGAUAAGAAGGUUCUCUUUCUUACAGAUCCUGAAACUGUUGUUCAGAGAAGUUAGGUGAAGUGCUCAAAAUACACAGAGAUGCAGAGCUGUGACUCAACCUGGGUCUUCUGAUUUGGAGUUCUGGGUAGUUUCUACCAUAUCUGUACCAUCAACCACUGACAUUGUUGACAGGAAAAAUGUGUG